rnacentral:rRNA from 1 species
GAGGACCGAACCGACUAAUGUUGAAAAAUUAUCGGAUGACCUGUGGCUGGGGGUGAAAGGCCAAUCAAACCGGGAGAUAGCUGGUUCUCCCCGAAAGCUAUUUAGGUAGCGCCUCGUGAACUCAUCUCCGGGGGUAGAGCACUGUUUCGGCUAGGGGGCCAUCCCGGCUUACCAACCCGAUGCAAACUGCGAAUACCGGAGAAUGUUAUCACGGGAGACACACGGCGGGUGCUAACGUCCGUCGUGAA